rnacentral:rRNA from 1 species
AUUGAACGCUGGCGGCAGGCCUAACACAUGCAAGUCGAGCGGAUGAAGGGAGCUUGCUCCUGGAUUCAGCGGCGGACGGGUGAGUAAUGCCUAGGAAUCUGCCUGGUAGUGGGGGAUAACGUCCGGAAACGGGCGCUAAUACCGCAUACGUCCUGAGGGAGAAAGUGGGGGAUCUUCGGACCUCACGCUAUCAGAUGAGCCUAGGUCGGAUUAGCUAGUUGGUGGGGUAAAGGCCUACCAAGGCGACGAUCCGUAACUGGUCUGAGAGGAUGAUCAGUCACACUGGAACUGAGACACGGUCCAGACUCCUACGGGAGGCCGCAGUGGGGAAUAUUGGACGAUGGGCGAAAGCCUGAUCCAGCCAUGCCGCGUGUGUGAAGAAGGUCUUCGGAUUGUAAAGCACUUUAAGUUGGGAGGAAGGGCAGUAAGUUAAUACCUUGCUGUUUUGACGUUACCAACAGAAUAAGCACCGGCUAACUUCGUG